UACGUAGGGUGCAAGCGUUGUCCGGAAUUAUUGGGCGUAAAGAGCUCGUAGGCGGUCCGUCACGUCGGCUGUGAAAACCUGGGGCUCAACCCCGGGCCUGCAGCCGAUACGGGCGGACUAGAAUUCGGUAGGGGAGACUGGAAUUCCUGGUGUAGCGGUGAAAUGCGCAGAUAUCAGGAGGAACACCGGUGGCGAAGGCGGGUCUCUGGGCCGAUAUUGACGCUGAGGCACGAAAGCGUGGGGAGCAAACAGG
rnacentral:rRNA from 1 species